AAACCAACCGGGAUUGCCUUAGUAACGGCGAGCGAAGCGGCAAAAGCUCAAAUUUGAAAUCUGGUACCUUCGGUGCCCGAGUUGUAAUUUGGAGAGGGCAACUUUGGGGCCGUUCCUUGUCUAUGUUCCUUGGAACAGGACGUCAUAGAGGGUGAGAAUCCCGUGUGGCGAGGAGUGCGGUUCUUUGUAAAGUGCCUUCGAAGAGUCGAGUUGUUUGGGAAUGCAGCUCUAAGUGGGUGGUAAAUUCCAUCUAAAGCUAAAUAUUGGCGAGAGACCGAUAGCGAACAAGUACAGUGAUGGAAAGAUGAAAAGAACUUUGAAAAGAGAGUGAAAAAGUACGUGAAAUUGUUGAAAGGGAAGGGCAUUUGAUCAGACAUGGUGUUUUGUGCCCUCUGCUCCUUGUGGGUAGGGGAAUCUCGCAUUUCACUGGGCCAGCAUCAGUUUUGGUGGCAGGAUAAAUCCAUAGGAAUGUAGCUUGCCUCGGUAAGUAUUAUAGCCUGUGGGAAUACUGCCAGCUGGGACUGAGGACUGCGACGUAAGUCAAGGAUGCUGGCAUAAUGGUUAUAUGCCGC
rnacentral:rRNA from 1 species